UGUACAUUUUAAUAAAAUUCUAUUAAAAUGCACUCUCUGGGACUAAGUAGACUCAACGUUCUUUUACUCCCUUCAAUUAGUGAAUUUUCACUGAACUUUUUCAACUUUUGAUCCGUAAAACUGGUGCGCUUUCUUGGUGACUAAACUCGUUUGCACCUUGCUCCAAUUGUUUACACACAUAGCGGCGGCAGAUUCUUAUGAAUGAGUGUUGCACAGCCCGCGACUAGUGAGCCAGAUGUAGCCUGCUGACAUGCAACAAGGGAAAGUUUCUAAUCACAAUAAAUCCAUUGAAGAGGACAUUACAGGAGCUAAUAAACUGACAGCAUGGACAGAAGGGCGUGAGAAUUAUGGUGUUAGAAUUAGCAGGAAGUGCAGCAAAGCUUUAUUAUGAGGAGGCCAUAACAGCGGAAAUGUAGAUAUUGAAAAUGAGGAAGAAAAAAUAUUGUAUUAUUAGUUGCAUUGAAUUUUUCUGAAUAAAUGUCUUUUUUUUA